CGAGGUAGGAAAAUUGCGUCUGAAGAUCGGGCGCAUCUCGUCGAACGUUAAUUUCAGACCGGAUCGGAUUCUCUAUAUACACAUGCGUUGAGUAAAUGGAAAUGACGUGUUCAUUAUAUCUCGUGCGGCACGAGGUCGUCUCAUUAGUUAGAAAGAUGGUGCUAAUACGACUCGCUCUAUGUUAGAUGCGAUUUAUUAUACUCGCCGCAUUCGCGCGAUUCUUUCUUUUAAUCUUGCGAACGAACAUUAUUCAGACAAGCAAGCGGAUAUUUUAUCGACUAAAAUCUGAACGAGUUGAGAUAUUGUACAUCCUGGAUUGCUGAAGGUGUUACAAUUUCGGGACGUUACUCAUCCAAUGUUAAGUGGGUCUCCGUGCUGGCGAGUAUGCGGGUGGUCUUUCCGUUUGCAAAGGCGGGACGAUUUUAUGGUUUCCGCUCUCCCGAGACCUAAGCCACCGUCAUUUUCAAGGCUCGUUCGUAGCUCAAAUUAAUUGCCCUCUAAUGCUACUGAUAUAUUGUUGCGGACGCGUCGGUUAUUACAAUGACAUUAAAGGAAAAUUAAUUGCAAAUUCACGCACUCAUUGCGAUAAUUGGAUAGAAAAGCAAACAUUGUCAUGAGUUUAUUAAUAAGCGCACUAAAAAGAUAUUAAUAAAUCGCUAUUUUUUGCAAAAUAUAAGUUAAAAAAUUGCUGAUUGCUAUUAAAAUCAUGAGAGUCGAAGAAAA